AACUCCUAACCAUUGUGAACUUACCCCUAUCGUUGCUUCGGCGGGUGGCGCCCGGGGGGAUUCGUCCCCCCAGGAGCCAGCGCCCGCCGGAGGUAUAUAACCCUGACUUUUUUUAUGGCCUCUCUGAGUAUUCUGUACUGAAUAAGUCAAAACUUUCAACAACGGAUCUCUUGGUUCUGGCAUCGAUGAAGAACGCAGCGAAAUGCGAUAAGUAAUGUGAAUUGCAGAAUUCAGUGAAUCAUCGAAUCUUUGAACGCACAUUGCGCCCGCUAGUUAUUCUGGCGGGCAUGCCUGUCCGAGCGUCAUUUCAACCAUCAAGCCCCCGGGCUUGUGUUGGGGAUCCUGCGAGCUCCGUGCCCGCAGGCCCUGGAAACCAGUGGCGGGCUCGCUGACACACCGAGCGUAGUAGCAUAAUUCUCGCUCUGGGCGUGCUGCGGGUUCCGGCCGUAAAACCGACCCCUCGAGAGAGGAGACACCCAAGGUUGACCUCGGAUCAGGUAGGAAUACCCGCUGAACUUAAGCAUAUCAAUAAGCGGAGGAAAAGAAACCAACAGGGAUUGCCCCAGUAACGGCGAGUGAAGCGGCAACAGCUCAAAUUUGAAAUCUGGCCCCGGCCCGAGUUGUAAUUUGUAGAGGAAGCUUUUGGCGCGGCACCUUCUGAGUCCCCUGGAACGGGGCGCCAUAGAGGGUGAGAGCCCCGUAUAGUCGGAUGCCUAGCCUGUGUAAAGCUCCUUCGACGAGUCGAGUAGUUUGGGAAUGCUGCUCUAAAUGGGAGGUAAAUUUCUUCUAAAGCUAAAUACCGGCCAGAGACCGAUAGCGCACAAGUAGAGUGAUCGAAAGAUGAAAAGCACUUUGAAAAGAGGGUUAAAUAGUACGUGAAAUUGUUGAAAGGGAAGCGCUUGUGACCAGACUUGCGCCGGGCUGAUCAUCCGGUGUUCUCACCGGUGCACUCUGCCCGGCUCAGGCCAGCAUCGGUUUUCGCGGGGGGACAAAGGCGGUGGGAACGUAGCUCCUCUGGGAGUGUUAUAGCCCGCCGCGUAAUGCCCUCGCGGGGACCGAGGACCGCG
rnacentral:rRNA from 1 species